CAUACGCCUUUGCGUAGCAUUUUUGUGGUGUCAUGCCCGCCUGCUGUGGUUAUGGGUGUGCUGACCGUACUGGCAAGGCACCGGGGACGACAUUUCACAACGGCAUCUCUAGUGUGACGUCACACCGACAGCUAUUUCCUGCCAGGCAGGCCGCUCGGAGAUGGCACGCUACCACCACCAUCUAUGGGGCGUAACUCACUCGGCGUCACAAUCGGGGGGUCCCGCCACCUGGCGGCCGUCAGCAGGUCAAGUAGAGUCAUCGUCCGGGAUGGAAUCCAAGGGCUGUGAACUGUUGUUCUGCAAGAAAUGAUAGAUUGAAUAACACCUCCCGGACGAUGACCUCCACACCGGACUUCCUUCUACUUGACGGCGACCAGGUAGCGCGAUCGUGACGUCAUUGUAUUGUCAUUUGUCAAUCUUCAGUCCUGACGAUGGCGUUCACUUCCCCUUAAUUUUCCACUCCCCCUUUUGCUUCUUCGUUGUCUGCCUCAGAUUUUGUUAGUACCUAUACAUAAAUAUUUAAUUUUGGUGGAACGCUCGUCUCCACGUCCAGAUUUAUUUAAUCGUUUAAUGUGAGCACAUUUUUUAAGUUAAUUAUUUGCCGUCAAGCUCUACAACAGUUGGUGAGAACGUUGAGUUU